GGGUCUUUACAGGAUACGGAUUUUUUUCCCGUCCCUUUCUCUUGGUACUUGGACUUUUUCCUUACUUCCGUCCAAGAAGGGCACUGCCACCUGCUGGCCCAGCAUUUCCCUUCCCCUCCCCGGGCUGGGAGGCCUCCGGUAGCCGCUGCUGCCCCCUAGUGGGGAGACUGCAGAGAGGCCUCCCCUGCUGUUUCUGGAUCCCUAUGAGUUGAGCCCUUGAAGUAAUUGAUAGAAACAGGAGCUGGAGGAGCUGCAGAUACUAUAAGGGAUGAUGGAACUGUGCGUUAGGGGAUGCUCUUCCAAAGGCAUCCUGUCUCCUCAAUCCCCUACCCAAGAAAGGUGUUUAGCAACAGGGGUGCCUCCACCCCUUCCAAGAGAAACCCAAGCCUUAUGGGAGGGGGCAUUUCCAGGCACACAAAGUGGUCCCAUAUGCAUGGAUACGGCUGAGCUUUUUUUUGAGGCAGGAUCUUGCUCUAUUGUCCAGGCUGGAGUGCAGUGGCGCGACCAGGGUUCACUGCACCCUCCAGCCGGGCUCAAGCAAUCCUCCCACCCCAGCCUCCCAAGUAACUGGCCCUAGACUCAAGUGAUCCUCCUGCCUUGGCCUCCCAAAGUGCUAGAUUACAACCCUCAGCCACCAUUCCCAGACAGUGAACCAUUUUUAAAUGGUCAGACAGAACCUUGGGAGUACAGAGAGCUCUAAAAGGUUGAAUUAGCCGCUGGAAUCUGUGAGGGUAACUCAGGGCUGGAGCUGGUAUCUGCUAAGGACUCACCCCUUGGAAGUCCAUUCUGGAAAGACUUUAGGGGUGCCUCACUGAGGAAUGAGGGAAAUACUGAAUGUCUGUUAAGCCAUGUGAUCCUGUACCUCAUGGUGCUACAGGGGCAGCACAGGAUCUGGGGUAAGAUGGCCUGGCCCAGGCCUCGCUCCCCCACCCCCAUAGGCUUUCCCGUUCCCUUUCCACUGUGGGAAGGCUCCUCACCUUUCCUGUCUUCAUUUCCCAAUAUACACAACAGCAAUCAUAAUGCUGUCUCACAGGUGGUGAGGCACUUCCUUCAAUCCUCAGAUCAACUCCAUAAGGUAGGUAGUAUCCUCCCAUUUUACAGGUAAGAAAACUGGGACUCUAGGGUCACAAGCUCGUAAGUGACUGAACCAGGUCUGAUUCCAAAACUUGUGACCACAGCACUGCAUAGCCUCACAUGAAAUAGCACAGGAAAGGAAAGAAAAUCAACUGUGCUAUACUAGGUAGGAAGUUGAAAAUGUCUCAAAAUCUAGAAGGAUGGAGACUGUUUCUUAAGGAAUGAGUGUGAGUAUUAGCAAGGAAUGGGUGAGAGGGGCUUCCUAAUGUGAAAUGGGCAUAGAUUAUUCCUAAAUGUAUACCCCCAGGAAAGUUUCCUUCUAACUUUUUCAUUCCAUUAUUUAACAUUUAACACCUAUUCUGUGCCUGGCAUGGUGCUGGAUUCCUGCCCUAGAGCAGUUACAGUCUUGGGAGGAAGACAGGGGACCAUGGCUGCCGUUGCUGUUUGAUCAGUGUCAGCCUUUGCUAUUGCAACUCAGAGGCACCCCACUCAUGGUGGUUGCAGAUAGCUGAGACGAAUUGAAGAGUUCAGUGCAGGUUUCCAGGAAAUAAAUCUCAAACUGCACUUUGAAAGAAGAGGGAGGCCAGAUGCGGGGGCUCACGCAUGUAAUCCCAGCACUUUGGGAGGCCGAGGCGGGCGGAUCACCUGAGGUCGGGAGUUCGAGACCAACCUGACCAACAUGGAGAAACCCUAUCUCUACUAAAAAUACAAAAUUAGCCAGGCCUGGUGGUGCAUGCCUGUAAUCCCAGCUACUUGGGAGGCUGAGGCAGGAGAAUCACUUAAACCCGAGAAGUGGAGAUUGCAGUGAGCUGAGAUUGCGCCAUUGCACUCCAGCCUGGGCAACAAGAAACUCCGUCUCAAAAAAAAAAAAAAAA
ensembl:lncRNA